AUGCACGCUGGCGGCGUGCUUAACACAUGCAAGUCGAACGGAAAGGCUCCUGCUUGCAGGGGUACUCGAGUGGCGAACGGGUGAGUAACACGUGGGUGAUCUGCCCUGCACUUCGGGAUAAGCCUGGGAAACUGGGUCUAAUACCGGAUAGGACGAUGGUUUGGAUGCCAUUGUGGAAAGUUUUUUCGGUGUGGGAUGAGCUCGCGGCCUAUCAGCUUGUUGGUGGGGUAAUGGCCUACCAAGGCGUCGACGGGUAGCCGGCCUGAGAGGGUGUACGGCCACAUUGGGACUGAGAUACGGCCCAGACUCCUACGGGAGGCAGCAGUGGGGAAUAUUGCACAAUGGGCGCAAGCCUGAUGCAGCGACGCCGCGUGGGGGAUGACGGCCUUCGGGUUGUAAACUCCUUUCGCUAGGGACGAAGCGCAAGUGACGGUACCUGGAGAAGAAGCACCGGCUAACUACGUG
rnacentral:rRNA from 1 species